GCAUUGGUGGUCGAGUGGUGAGCACAGCUGCCUUCCAAGCAGUUGGCCCACGUUCGAUUCCUGGCCAACGCA